rnacentral:rRNA from 1 species
GAUGAACGCUGGCGGCGUGCCUAAUACAUGCAAGUCGAGCGAACGGACGAGAAGCUUGCUUCUCUGAUGUUAGCGGCGGACGGGUGAGUAACACGUGGAUAACCUACCUAUAAGACUGGGAUAACUUCGGGAAACCGGAGCUAAUACCGGAUGAUAUUUUGAACCGCAUGGUUCAAAAGUGAAAGACGGUCUUGCUGUCACUUAUAGAUGGAUCCGCGCUGCAUUAGCUAGUUGGUAAGGUAACGGCUUACCAAGGCAACGAUGCAUAGCCGACCUGAGAGGGGGAUCGGCCACACUGGAACUGAGAAACGGUCCAGAAGCCUACGGGAGGCAGCAGUAGGGAAUCGUCCGAAAAGGGCGGAAGCCUGACGGAGCAACGCCGCGUGAGUGAUGAAGGUCUUCGGAUCGUAAAACGCUGUUAUUAGGGAAGAACAUAUGUGUAAGUAACUGUGCACAUCUUGACGGUACCUAAUCAGAAAGCCACGGCUAACUACGUG